rnacentral:rRNA from 1 species
GUGGGGAAUCUUAGACAAUGGGGGAAACCCUGAUCUAGCCAUGUCGCGUGAGCGAUGAAGGCCUUAGGGUUGUAAAGCUCUUUCAGCUGGGAAGAUAAUGACGGUACCAGCAGAAGAAGCCCCGGCUAACUCCGUGCCAGCAGCCGCGGUAAUACGGAGGGGGCUAGCGUUGUUCGGAAUUACUGGGCGUAAAGCGCGCGUAGGCGGCCCAGAAAGUUGGAGGUGAAAUCCCAGGGCUCAACCUUGGAACUGCCUUCAAAACGCCUUGUCUGGAGUUCGAAAGAUGUGAGUGGAAUUCCGAGUGUAGAGGUGAAAUUCGUAGAUAUUCGGAGGAACACCAGUGGCGAAGGCGGCUCACUGGCUCGAUACUGACGCUGAGGUGCGAAAGCGUGGGGAGCAAACAGGAUUAGAAACCCGGGUAGUCC